CCACCACUAAGCCAGUGGUGAACUCCACAUCCGCAUCCUUUGCUGAGGAUACGGUUAACGGAGCGAAAGCGACGUUCAACCGCAAAACAAGCAGAGGGGGCUUAGUGGUGGGGUGACUGCGUACCUUUUGUAUAAUGGGUCAGCGACUUAUAUUCUGUAGCAAGGUUAACCGAAUAGGGGAGCCGGAGGGAAACCGAGUCUUAAUUGGGCGUUAAGUUGCAGGGUAUAGACCCGAAACCCGGUGAUCUAGCCAUGGGCAGGUUGAAGGUUGGGUAACACUAACUGGAGGACCGAACCGACUAAUGUUGAAAAAUUAGCGGAUGACCUGUGGCUGGGGGUGAAAGGCCAAUCAAACCGGGAGAUAGCUGGUUCUCCCCGAAAGCUAUUUAGGUAGCGCCUCGUGAAUUCAUCUCCGGGGGUAGAGCACUGUUUCGGCUAGGGGGCCAUCCCGGCUUACCAACCCGAUGCAAACUGCGAAUACCGGAGAAUGUUAUCACGGGAGACACACGGCGGGUGCUAACGUCCGUCGUGAAGAGGGAAACAACCCAGACCGCCAGCUAAGGUCCCAAAGUCAUGGUUAAGUGGGAAACGAUGUGGGAAGGCCCAGACAGCCAGGAUGUUGGCUUAGAAGCAGCCAUCAUUUAAAGAAAGCGUAAUAGCUCACUGGUCGAGUCGGCCUGCGCGGAAGAUGUAACGGGGCUAAACCAUGCACCGAAGCUGCGGCAGCGAACGUAUCACCCAAGACAACUUUACGGAGUUGACGAUUGACGGAGCGAAGCGACGUCAAAGCGUUCAUUAAAGUCGAGUUGGCUUAGGGAUACGUUCGUUGGGUAGGGGAGCGUUCUGUAAGCCUGUGAAGGUGUGUCGUGAGGCAUGCUGGAGGUAUCAGAAGUGCGAAUGCUGACAUAAGUAACGAUAAAGCGGGUGAAAAGCCCGCUCGCCGGAAGACCAAGGGUUCCUGUCCAACGUUAAUCGGGGCAGGGUGAGUCGACCCCUAAGGCGAGGCCGAAAGGCGUAGUCGAUGGGAAACGGGUUAAUAUUCCCGUACUUGGUGUUACUGCGAAGGGGGGACGGAGAAGGCUAUGUUGGCCGGGCGACGGUUGUCCCGGUUUAAGCGUGUAGGUGUGUGUUCCAGGUAAAUCCGGUUCACUUUAACACUGAGGCGUGACGACGAGGCACUACGGUGCUGAAGCAACAAAUGCCCUGCUUCCAGGAAAAGCCUCUAAGCAUCAGGUAACACGAAAUCGUAC
rnacentral:rRNA from 1 species